rnacentral:rRNA from 1 species
UACGGAGGGUGCAAGCGUUAAUCGGAAUUACUGGGCGUAAAGCGUGCGUAGGCGGUUCGUUAAGUCUGCUGUGAAAGCCCCGGGCUCAACCUGGGAAUGGCAGUGGAUACUGGCGAGCUAGAGUGUGAUAGAGGAUGGUGGAAUUCCCGGUGUAGCGGUGAAAUGCGUAGAGAUCGGGGAGGAACAUCAGUGGCGAAGGCGGCCAUCUGGAUCAACACUGACGCUGAGGCACGAAAGCGUGGGGGAGCAAACAGG